GACGAACGCUGGCGGCGUGCUUAACACAUGCAAGUCGAGCGGUAAGGCCCUUUGGGGUACACGAGCGGCGAACGGGUGAGUAACACGUGAGUAAUCUGCCUUUGGCUUGGGAAUAACUUCGGGAAAUCGGGGCUAAUGCCUGAUGUUUACUGUCUGCUGCAUGGUGGGUGGUGGAAAGAUUUUUUGGCCAGGAGUGAGCUCGCGGUCUAUCAGCUUGUUGGUGGGGUAAGUGG
rnacentral:rRNA from 1 species